AGAUUAAGCCAUGCAUGUCUCAGUGCAAGCCGUCCCGUACGGUGAAACCGCGAAAGGCUCAUUAAAUCAGUUAUGGUUCCUUAGAUAGUACCCACACUUACUUGGAUAACUGUGGUAAUUCUAGAGCUAAUACAUGCCGACAGAGUUCCGACGGGCGGCGUGUGUGACGGUGGUCUCGCGGCCGCUGUCCGCGACGUUCGGCAGGAACGCUUUUAUUAGAUCAAAACCGGCUGGGCGGCCGCGUCUCGUGCGCUUUCGCGAGCCACUGACGGCGCGGUUGCUUGCGGCCCGCGCAAUGACUUGACGACUCUGAAUAACUUCGAGCUGAUCGCACGGCCUUUUUGCGCCGGCGACGUAUCUUUCAAAUGUCUGCCUUAUCAACUGUCGACGGUAAGUUAGACGCUUACCGUGGUGGUAACGGGUAACGGGGAAUCAGGGUUCGAUUCCGGAGAGGGAGCCUGAGAAACGGCUACCACAUCCAAGGAAGGCAGCAGGCGCGCAAAUUACCCACUCCCAGCUCGGGGAGGUAGUGACGAAAAAUAACGAUACGGGACUCAUCCGAGGCCUCGUAAUCGGAAUGAGUACACUUUAAAACCUUGGUCACACGAGGAUCAAU
rnacentral:rRNA from 1 species